AUGGGUGGUUUGUCACCAACAAAGUCUGAAGACAUGUCUGAGAGUUUCCCGGCAAAGAGCAACAUAGGUAAUGGUGAAGGCAGUCAGGACAAUGAAGAUCUAUUUGCAUCGUCACCAUAUUCAAUUCUGGCAAGUACUCUUAAUAUGACUCCGGAUCACAUAGAGGCAGCCAGAGUUUUUGUUGAGACUCUCGCAUCGACAAAGAAGCAUGCACACCGAACCGUGGUCGAUAUGCCGCCACUAGAUGGGGACAUAUGCACGCCGGCUAUGCUUCACGAUGUCCUGAAGUUUAAAUGGUUGAAUGACGCUAUAAUCAAUGCAUAUUGUAAACACCUACAACACCGUGAUUUCUCUGACCGUUUCAUAUCAACAACGUGGUUCCCAAAAUUUAUGUUGGGUAGGGCUAGGGGAAAGACCAAGUCAAUUAAUGAUUUAGAAUGA
rnacentral:rRNA from 1 species